rnacentral:rRNA from 1 species
CAGCAGCCGCGGUAAAACGAAGGGUGCAAGCGUUACUCGGAAUUACUGGGCGUAAAGCGUGCGUAGGUGGUGGUUUAAGUCCGUUGUGAAAGCCCUGGGCUCAACCUGGGAAUUGCAGUGGAUACUGGAUCACUAGAGUGUGGUAGAGGAUAGUGGAAUUUCCGGUGUAGCAGUGAAAUGCGUAGAGAUCGGAAGGAACAUCUGUGGCGAAGGCGACUAUCUGGGCCAACACUGACACUGAGGCACGAAAGCGUGGGGAGCAAACAGGAUUAGAUACCCCAGUAGUCCCUGUCUCUUAUAA